GACGAACGCUGGCGGCGUGCUUAACACAUGCAAGUCGAACGGAAAGGCCCUGCUUUUGUGGGGUGCUCGAGUGGCGAACGGGUGAGUAACACGUGAGUAACCUGCCCUUGACUUUGGGAUAACUUCAGGAAACUGGGGCUAAUACCGGAUAGGAGCUCCUGCUGCAUGGUGGGGGUUGGAAAGUUUCGGCGGUUGGGGAAGGACUCGCGGCUUAUCAGCUUGUUGGUGGGGUAGUGGCUUACCAAGGCUUUGACGGGUAGCCGGCCUGAGAGGGUGACCGGCCACAUUGGGACUGAGAUACGGCCCAGACUCCUACGGGAGGCAGCAGUGGGGAAUAUUGCACAAUGGGCGGAAGCCUGAUGCAGCAACGCCGCGUGCGGGAUGACGGCCUUCGGGUUGUAAACCGCUUUCGCCUGUGACGAAGCGUGAGUGACGGUAAUGGGUAAAGAAGCACCGGCUGACUACGUG
rnacentral:rRNA from 1 species